CAGGCUUCUGUGGAGUCUGUGCUGGGCUGCUUGGGUUGUCUGUCCAUCCAGCUCCUACAGGGAAGUUGAAUCGCCAUGAUACAUGAGCUUUCCUCUGCAGUUUAUCUCUGGCUCCUGUCUGUGUUCAGUCAGAUGUUGGGUCCUGCUCCCCUCAAUGAACAGGCAGUGGUUGCUCUGCUCAAACAACCUGAAGGCAUCCAGUGUCACCAGGAUCUGAUCCCAGCAGUUCAACAUAAUCACUGAAAGAGGAGAAAAUUGAGGAGAUUUCACUGGAACUGAGCAAGAGCCUGACAGCUGGCAAAUGCUAAUGAGCAUCUCCAUGGUGGUCAAAAACCACAGAAAUUGAUAUCAUCUCCUCUGACUACAAGUUUACAUGUGUUUUGCGGAAUGAAUGGCUUGGACAAAAGCACUGGUAAAUCACCUGAAACAAAACUGCCUGAUAGCUGUUAAUGGUCAAGAGAGAGAAGCCCUGCCAGGCUGGUUGGGAGGUGGAUGGAGAACACUCACCUGGGACAGUCCCCAUGUUGUGGGGCUUGGCUUUGCCAAGGGGGUCAAACAUCAAUUAGAGAGCCCAGAUGAGUAGGAUCAGCUCUUGCUUUAUUCCUGAGGACCUUGUUUGAGAUACGUUUUCAUAAAGAAGAGAAAGGACAGAAUGGAUGCUCUCCCUGUUUCAAUGAAAUACCUGCUCUCAGUCUGACUCAAGGGGCACUGGAAGGAACAGGAACAUGAUAUCUAAUUUCCUAAUUUUCCUGUCAGCUUUCUGGUUUUCAAAAUGAUUGCAGCAGGAAUCCAUAAAAUGAGGAUGAGGGAAGCAACCUUAAUACCAUUGUAAAUCUCCAAAAUGGAUGCAGAAACACAGUACUCAAAUAGGAGUAAAUAAAAGCAAGGAGAGAUUCAUUCCAGUUUUCUCCUCUGUAAACCUACUGGCAGCUUGGAAUUAUUCAGAAAACAACAUUUAACUGAGGAAAAAAAAGGAACCCUGUAAAAUAGUAAAGAUUGUACCGUAAAGCUAAGCACCCUCCAUAAAUCAUGGCUGGGAACAUUGCUAAGUUAUAGGAACCUGCAGAUGGCUGUCAUUAAAGGAAAAGAGCCUCUCCCAGCUUGGCAGGCCCUGCUGUGUCCUGUGUACAGCUACAAAUUGAGCUGCCUUCAUGGGGGAGCUGCAAAAGUGGUUUUAAAAUAGGAAUUUCAUGCAAAAGCUGGAUGAGCUGUUCAGCAAGGCUCAGGCUUAUUGCAAAUCCACAGUGGUAAUUUCAGGCCUGAUUUACAGGGGAUUCUAAUAAACCUCCCCUAUUUAAAAUGAUACAUCAAUAGUUUAUCACUAGUGCCUGUCUGAGGCAGGAGGAGAGGGUGUGGGGCACGGUGCCUCCAGUUCCAAGCCUGCAUUAUCUCUGCCAUGAACCAGGACAAAUCCUGCCUGGCCAAAGACAGGGCGAGCUGCUGUGGGUCCUGUCUCCAGCUGCUGUUUCGGAGUGACUCAGGACAGACCAGUGGGCUCUGAACAUUUCUGUGUGCUCACCUGGGCCAGCGCUGUUUUCCCUUUGGGAAGAACUCGUCUGGGGCUUCAACUCAAGGAACAGCAGGAGAGAUGCUCAAAACAAGCCUGCAAGGCUGAAAAUAGCACACACCGGCUGCUGCUGCUGCUUUCAAGAUAAAGAUGUCACCAGGUGAGCUCUUUUGGGAUUAUAUAUUAAGCCACACCGUGAUGCAGCAUGAGGACACUCCAGAGCCCCAGGCUGAGCAAGGCAGGUGUGCAGGGAUGUCUGUGCCAGUGCUGGGGGGCCCUGGGGCUGUGCUGGCUCCCCAGGAAAGGCUUUGCUGUGCUUCCCAGAGGGAGGAUCACACUAUCUGCUGUCUUGCCAGAGCCUCUAUGGAGGCUUAAUCCUCAACACCACCCUGAGGCACAAGCACUCCCUGCUGUGGUCCUGCAUGGGGGAUUCAGCUGCAGGUCUGGCAAUCAACAUAUCCAGAAUGUAACAAGACCUCCAGGAGCCUACUCUUCUUUGGAGGUUGGAAAUGUUUUGCCCAAAUCAGCCACACUUACCAGGGUUCAUGGUGUUUCAAGGUCACCACCUCUAACAAGGACAGCAGCCUUUCCUGAUAAAAAAUGGCACAACAGCUGAUGGCACUGAUUUUAAAUAUCCCCACCUUCAACCUUCCCAUUUCUGUUAUAUCAUUCUGAUUUUCUCAGCAUUUCUGCAGGACCAUACCUGCAGGUGCUGGGCUCACUGCCCACCAGGCCAAGGGCUUUCCCAGGUGCUAGUGAGACUCCCUGCAAAAGCUGUAGUCAAUGAUUUCCAGAAAUGAGGCCAGGAGGAACUGGAUCCCACAGUAUUAUUUUUCUUUUCUGUCUCUGGGUGAAUUGAAGAACUGCUCACUGCAUCUUUAACAACUGUGUUUAGCUCCUUGUCACGACCUCCUUUGUACAUCAGUAGAAAAGGCAUCACCAGCAGAUGCAAUUUCUUUCAGAGCUGGAAUUGUAUUUAUUUUACUGGAAUUGUACUCCAUUUGUCUGGUGGCAAAGGGACUGAGCAAUUUAUACUGGCAGCACUGAAUGUACUGAGAUUGGCAGUGCUUGGGCACUCAUGGCUUGUUACCCAAGGAAAGUUCAGAGCAUACUAAUUCAUCCCACCACAGAGCAGCAGUACAGGAGCUGUGCAGAUGGUAUCAAUCAGUCUUACAUUAGUAACACUCUAAACAUUUUUUAAGAUGGUAAAAGAUCCAAUAUAUCUGCUUUAUUCUGUUUCAUUGUGGGGUCCAGUUCUUCCUUUCCAUCAUACAAACAACUUCCAGGUAAUGGAAGGGAUAUUGCAUUCUCUAUUCACAAAUCACAGUUUGACCUAUUAUUUGUAAUUUUCAGUGCCUGCCUUCUUAUGCAGUGCUCAUAAAAUGAGAUUAGAGUGAUUUACAAUAGUGAGAAAUGGAACAAGACUAAGAGGAGAUGUGACUCAUUAGACAUAAUCCUGAGGCUGUCGGAAGGAGCCUGCUUCACUCAGGAAGAUGUGCUGCAAUUUUCCAAACCAGUCUAGGGGACUUAGAUGUACCUUUGAGGGCUUUCAGCACUGAAAACCAACAAAACCCACCAGUCCUAAUUUUAUCUGUUAUAGAAUCAAUCAAGAAAUUCAGAUCAAAAGCUCCCA